rnacentral:lncRNA from 1 species
GCCACCGCCGCGCUCGGAGCUCGGAGCUCGCAGCUCGCUUCGCCCUGCGCCUCUGUCGCCGCCGCCGCUGCCACCGCCACCCGCACACCCUUGGCGCGUCCACGCACCGCUCCGCUCCUUGCAGCCGGCACAGAGUGCGCUUAUCGCUCGUUCAGGGCAGAGUAUCCCCGUUGCAGCCCCUCGGCGAUGGCCACCAAGAUCGACAAAGAGGCUUGCCGGACGGCGUAUAACCUGGUGCGCGACGACAGCUCGGCCGUCAUCUGGGUGACUUUUAAAUACGACGGCUCCACCAUCGUCCCCGGCGAGCAGGGAGCGGAAUAUCAGGACUUCAUCCAACAAUGCACAGAUAAGAGCGUUUUAAAGCCUCAUAAAAACCUCUCCCGUCUGGGCAUCCGGAGCCGUCGGAGGUGACCACACAGUACCCUUUCUAGGCACGACGGCUCCUUUACCCCCUGUGAGUCACUAGUUUUCCAGCACCAGCUCACGCGGUUUCAAACUCCAGCCCUCUCCACUUUACCCUUUCUUAGGUCAGCAAGCCCAAAUAAAAACAAUCCUGGAGUUUAUUGCAGGAGAAGGAAACUCUCAGCGGCCCCCGCCCCCCACAAUCAUUGUCCUUGUGCUGGUGAUAUGUGCUUAUUUGUAGAGCCAAGUAUGAAAGAGUACACCCCGUGUGAUCCCAUUUAUAUGAAAUGAUAGAAAAGGCAAAGCUAAUCUGUGGUGUGAAAAGUGUGAAAAGUGGUCACGCUUGGGGGUGGGUAGCCGCUCCCUGGGAGCGGGCAUGCGGAAGGUGGGGGUGGGUUCGGGGGGGGUUGGAAAUGUUCCAUAUUUUUUUCUGGGAGGUGGUCACACAGGUGUGUACCUAUUUAAGAAAUCGUCCAGCAAAAUGCUUAAGAUCUGUAAACUUUGGGCCCUUCCCUGGGGUGUGUGGAACCAUGAAGAGGAAAGAAGCCGUGGCUCUAUGACCACAUCCCCUUCCCCCCUUCCCUGGAAGCUAAAGUCAUUGGUAAUGGGGCUCUUUAAAGCUGGGGUUGGACAAUGGGCUCUUGAAUGGUCCCCAGUCUCUGGCUUGGAAAGAGAUAUAUUCAGACAAAGGCAGUGCAGCAGGGACGUUAGGGCGGGGACGCAGGGUCAGAAGGUGGCCACUUUCUAGCUCUGUGAUUUGGGGCGAAUUAUUUAACCUCCUGGGGCUGGGGGGAGGGGAGGAGGCUGGGUUUCCUCAUCUGUCGUCUUAGAGAGCAGUUGUGAGCAUAGGUGAGUCAUUGUGUAAAACACUCAGGAGGGUGCCGUGGCCGGUGACAUGGUCGUUUGUGAAACAGAUAAAACGUACACAGGACGGGAGGGAUCAGGGCUCCUUGCCUUUCUUCACGUAACAUUCUGGGUUUACUCUAAUUCAAAGAAUAUUUAUGAAAUGUCUGCUAUGGGCUGACUGGUACGAAGGGGGUGUGUGUGUGUGUGUGUUUUCCCAAUGUUCUCGCAACUGAAAUGUCUCCCUGAGAGAUGCCUCCAGAUGUUCAUUCAUUGCUUUUGUAAAGGGUCGUUUAAAACCUCAGAUGCAGAAAGUACUACAACAACUCACAUCUAAUAAUGUGCACAGGGCCUCGUGCGCAGGGCUGGCAGGGCCGGGGUUGGAACCCCAUCUCUCAACCGCUAUUAUCCUUCCUUCCGCCCCUGUGAUGGUUGCUUUCGCAAGUGGAGUAAGUCCAGACUCCUGACUUUCCCCCGAUUUGGUCCAGAACUAGGAAGUUGAGCAGGGUCGUUGGCCUUGCUGGCUCUGAGCUUUCUCAGAGGCCAGCUUCCUUUCUCUCUGGACAGUAAAGUAGCCCUUUCUUUCCUCCGGCUGGCCCUCUACCUCCCACCCCCCAUCAGGCUGGGGUCCCCUCCCCCCUCCCCGUCUCGGAAGCUAUUGUUCUCUCCGUUGAGUAGGAGAAGGUGACCCUGGGGAAGAAAGAGCAUCCUGUGAGUGGAUUCCGAACAGAUGAACAGAUGCUCCUGCUCCCAGCGUCGCGCGGGCGAGGCUGUGGUCAGAGGACUCUUCCGCCCUCCCCGGGGCUUUGUGGUUUUCUACUCUGACCCUUCCCCCAACGACGGGGAUGGGAGUGGGGAGGGCCUGGUGGGAGAACUAAAAAUGCUUUCCCUGCUGCUUGUUGAUCUUAUGAAUGGGCCGUGGGAUCUGAAGGCUCCGUCUGCUUUGGCUGGAAGUCUGCCUUCCUUCCCCAGCCAUCUGUUGGACAAAUGUAUAGGCGAGUUACGGUUGCCGUGUGUGCUCUUGUUUGCCUUAGAAAAGCUUGUUCCAUCCCACUGCCGUGUCCCCAUAACGCAGCGAUAAAGGAUUCCGAACACUGACCAGUAAUUCUAUACGCAAGUCGCUGUGCUUAACACACUUCGUCUCCCUUCCUGAGCUUGUUUCCUUUCUGUGGGUGAGGAAACCAAGGCCCAGAGAGGUUAAGUGACUUGCCUGAGAUCACACAGCAAGGUUGUGGCAGAGCUGAACUUGCCCCCAGGGAAGGCUGGCGCCAAGGCCAGGCCCACUUUGUAAUGAAGGCAGGGAGGGCUCUUGGUGGCCCUAGUUCCUGGCCAGGUGUCCUGAUAGGCCCUGGAGUCACAUGUUCUGAGGGCAAGUUCUUGCUCUGGCACAGGCUUCUUAUUUCCAAACAUCUUCUCACCAGGUGGAUCUGGCCUCUCCUGCAUCACUGCUGGGGGGGGAGCGCGGAUGAGGGGGAGGGUGUCCACCCCAGCUCCCCUCCCUCUCCUCCCUCCUCCCUGACUGACAGCCCCUCCCCCAGCAUCCUCUCUCUGAACGCCCCUCCCCCCACCCCCCUCUGGCUGCUGUCUUCCUGCUGCGGUCCCCCCCCCCCAUUUGCCCCAGUGGAAUCUGCCCUUCCCGCCUCUCCCUGUCAUCUGACCUCAGCCCCCAGGCUGGCCUGUCUUGUCCGCAGGAGCUGUUUCCUGAGGUCGUGGGUCUGGAAGUUCGCUUGUGGGGCCCUUAUCCUCCUCUUUCUUCCUGCCUGCAGGAUUCGAGGCCCUCUCUGGCCCCGUGAUGGCGCUUCUGGCGCUGGACUCACGUGGUCCCCUCCCCCUUGUGCACUAACCACGCCCUCUCCAUCACCACCUGGGCCUCUGGCUUCUUGCUCCAAACUUCAGUCCGUGUAAGAUGGUUGGAGAACUUUCAAGUGCGGUGAGAGGAGCCCAAUACAGUCAGCUUAGGCAAAAAAAAAAAAAAAAA